rnacentral:misc_RNA from 1 species
UAGCGUGGGCAUCCCGUUUGUUACGGCAACUCAAACCAUUAAUGUUUUAGCCUUUGUUUUUGAUGGAGUCAACUAUGGAGCAUCUGACUUUGCAUACUCUGCAUACUCGAUGGUUUUGGUGUCAAUAGUGAGCAUACUAUGCUUAAUACCACUAUCAUCUAGUCAUGGCUUCAUCGGCAUCUGGUUUGCGUUGACCAUUUUUAUGAGCUUACGUGCAUUCGCUGGCUUUUUGAGGAUAGGAACUGGAAUGGGACCUUGGAGCUUUCUCAGGGGCUGACCUCCUCCUCCAUUUGUUCAUCUCCAUAACUCCACCUGUGCUUUUUUAAUCACACGACGAGCAAAUAAAAGCGCCUGGUUGGUGGAAAGAAGGGAAGAAGGGAAUUUGUUGGGCAUGACAUUUUGGCUUUGUUACAGAAUAAAAAAGUUUUUGUAUUAGAAAACAAAUAUUUAGAUUCUUGAUUAGCAUGAUUACAACGAUAGAGCUGUAGAUCUUUCUAAUUAGUUAGCUUAAUCGUAGGAAUCUUUGUAUAUAAAUUUGUAUCAACUCUUGAUGAAAUACAAGCAUCUAUCUUUCCAGGUCCUUCAAGCUGUACAUAUUAUACUACAUAGAUUAACACACAAGUUGAUACAAG